rnacentral:lncRNA from 1 species
UUAACUUUGAUAUCAGUGGUCUGUCCUCAAAAGCUUGACAUAUAUUCCUCAUAACGAAAGAAGGAUACUCAAUGUACAUGUACUAACGAUGGUUCAAACUAAAUAUGAUUCAGAAAAAUGAACCAGUCCAUUCUCCAUUUGAGAUAAAAAAAAAAUAAAAAAAAUCGCAGCAAAGCUACAUAUUCUAGAACAAGUGCAAUGUGGAUAUUAUUAUUUUUUCCAAAAGACCCUGCCCAUAGGUGCCAUACAAAAUAAUUCUUACAAAAAAUACUAAUUAUCGUAAACAUGUAAAAUACACGUUCACAUUGUUCUGAUCCCCGCACAGAUAUCUACAUUCACAGAUGAUGCGUACUUGUUUAUGUCAUACCAAUGUUUGUGAUCAAUUUUUAUAAAGUGCUAGAGGAAUUUUUAA